UCGCAAUUGAUAUAGAGAUGAUCGAAUGGAGAAGUUUAAACAUAUCUAAAGAAGUUUUGAAAAGAGAAACUGAAGAAAUUUUGAGGAUGCGGAUAGAAAAUCCACGGUAGAUGGCGUUCUUUCCGGGACGCCCUUCCCGGAAUAUUAGAAUUGAGCCGACCGGAGCAGAAAUACAACGCGGCCCCUGUUUACCAAGUCAAUGAGCUGCUUUAAUACACCGCACAACCAUCAUCAGGAAUAUUAUUCGGCGGAAUACACCAACGACAUCGGAGAUCUCCUCCUUUCGCAGGAUCAAGAUGAACUGUUAAAUUCUUUGGAAUGGAUUUCGACGUUGCUGAUUCCACAUACUUUUCAUGGAUGAAAUACAAUGAUGCUGAAGUAAACAAAAGCAGAUACAGAUAAAACAACAGAUACACGAAAAACAACAUUCGAAUGC